AUGGCGGGUGUGCUGAAGAAGACCACUGGCCUCGUGGGAUUGUCUGUGUGUGAGAGUCCACAGGAGAGGCUCAGAAUAUUGUACACAAAGAUUCUUUAUGUUCUUGAGCAAAUCCCUAAAAAUGCAGCAUAUAGAAAAUAUACAGAGCAGAUUACAAAUGAGAAACUGGGAAUGGUUAAAGCGGAAUCAGAUGUUAAAAUAUUAGAAGAGCAACUUCAGCAUGGCCAAAUAGAAGAGGUGAUUCUUCAGGCUGAAACUGAACUAAGUCUGGCAAGAAAAAUGCUGCAGUGGAAACCAUGGGAGCCAUUAAUAGAAGAACCUCCUGCCAACCAGUGGAAAUGGCCAAUAUAAUCAUUACAUGUAUUCUGUGGGC